AUUGAACGCUGGCGGCAGGCCUAACACAUGCAAGUCGAACGAGUGGCGGACGGGUGAGUAAUGUAUGGGAAACUGCCUGAGGGAGGGGGAUAACUACUGGAAACGGUUGCUAAUACCGCAUACCAUCGGAUGUGCCCAGAUGGGAUGAGCUAGUAGGUGGGGUAACGGCUCACCUCGGCGACUAUCCCUAGCUGGUCUGAGAGGAUGAACUGCCACACUGGAACUGAGCCACGGUCCAGACUCCUACGGGAGGCAGCAGGGGGGAAUAUUGCACAAUGGGCGCAAUCCUGAUGCAGCCAUGCCGCGUGUAUGAAGAAGGCCUUCGGGUUGUAAAGUACUUUCAGCGGGGAGGCGUUACCCGCAGAAGAAGCACCGGCUAACUCCGUGCCAGCAGCCGCGGUAAUUC
rnacentral:rRNA from 1 species